AUCUUCCAUUUUAAAUUCCGAUGAAUAGGUUGUUAAUUAAUGUAGAUUUUAUGAAGGAUUAAUUUUUAAUAUUUUAAGGGUACUAUAAUCUCCCAACAUUACCAGAAUAUUUUGGUCUUUCAGGAGCAUAUUUCAUGAAUGUUCAUAGAAGGAAAAUAAAAAUAAAAAAUUACUUGAGUUAACAAGCAAUUGAUUUCAAAGUUCACUUACAAAAGUGGAUAUUUGAUCAAAUAUUAAUUAAGUAUGUCUGAUGUUCUUUUUAACUGAAAGAUAAUUCAACAACAAUUUAAUGGCGUAGUUUUUAGAAGUAGAAGAUCAUAUAACUGACCUUGAUCUGUUUGCAGAAGAAGAAGAAGAAGAAGAAGAAGAGGAGGAGGAGAUCAAUUCUCAUUAUGUUCUGUGUAUAUAUAGGUUCAGGUGCAGGAAUCUGAGGUACAGGAUUUUAAAGUGCAGGAUUUUGAGCUGGUAUUUGAGGUGCAGGAUUUUGAGAUUUGUUUCAGGUGAUUGAUCGAAGCCUAUGUGGAAAUACGCGGUGCUUAUCCGAAAGACCUCCUCCCAUUUCAUUUCGGGAUGGAGAUUGAGUUUUAGAAUGUAGUGGUAAUCUGAAAUUAUUAGUCGCUCUUGUAUAAGUCUAGACCAGGUCAUGGGAAGUGGAUCGAGUC